rnacentral:rRNA from 1 species
GUCCACGCCGUAACGAUGAGUGCUAGGUGCUGUGGUAUUGACCCCGCGGUGCCGCAGCCAACGCGUUAAGCACUCCGCCUGGGAGUACGGCCGCAAGGCUAAACUCAAAGGAAUUGACGGGCCCGCACAAGCGGUGGAGCAUGUGGUUCAAUUCGACGCAACGCGCAGAACCUUACCUGGGUUAAAUCCACUCGAACCUUGCAGAGAUGCAGGGGUGCUCUUCGGAGAGCGAGUGAGAAGGUGCUGCAUGGCUGUCGU